CGAGGGGAUGCAGCAGCAAUUCAUGUUUUGAAGUGCUUUCAAAGAUUCAAAACGUGAGGCGCUGCUAUACCCCUUUGGGGGGAA
rnacentral:pre_miRNA from 10 species